rnacentral:lncRNA from 1 species
CCCGCCCCGGAGUCUGGUUUCAGUCAUCCUUUGUCCCGGCCCCGAUUGGCAGGUUUUAUUAUUCCGCCUCAACAAUCCGGCCGCCCAGUGGCUGAGGGUCGCUGACGUCGGCGGCAGAGCCGGGAGCAGUUGGGAUUCUGCUCCGUCAGUAACACAUGGGGAAGAGCCGCGCCGGGAGCCCGCGAGCCGGCUAGAGGCCCGCCCGCCGCCGCCGCCGCCGCCGCCGCCGCCGCCACCGCCGCCGCCGCCGCCGCCGCCGCCGCCGCCUCCGAGCCGGGCACAGCCGCCCCGGUAGCCGCCCCGGCCGCGGCGCAGGCUCGGGCGCUCCGGGCCCCGCCGCCCAGCUCCCCGCCUCNNNNNNNNNNNNNNCGCCCCGGCCGCCGCCGCCGCCGCCGCUCCCGGGGCCGAGGUGGCCGCGGCCGCCCCCCGGCCGGAGGUGCAGGAAGCCCGGCCGAGCGCCCGCCGCCGCCGCCGCCGGCCGCCCCGAGCGAGCGGGCGCGCGGGAGGGAGGCAGGCGGAGGAGGAGGAGGAGCAGCGGAGGCGCGCGGGCGGGCGGGGCGGGGGCCGCCGGGCGGGGAUAUACAAAGUGAAGCCACAUUGCCAAACUUGCAGCGGCGAUUGCAGCAGUUGCUGCCGCGGCGCCGCGGCCCGAGGGCUCCUGCGGCUGCUCGCGCCCAGCCGGACGCCGAGGAGCACGACCCGGACCGAGACGGACACUUCUGCUCCCCGCCGCCUGCCACUGACGCGGGCCCCCCAGCCCAGCCCCAGAGCCGCGCGUUAAAAAAAAAAAAAAAAAAAAAAAAAAGCCCUUCGCCCCCUCCUCCCCUUUCCUGCCUCUGCGAGGACAUCCCCCUCCCUCCUGCUCCGCCAGCCCCGGCGCCCCUUCCUCGGAAGCCGAGCGGCUUCGCUCGCAUUUCGCCGCCGCCGCCUCGCGCAGUCUUGCAAUAUAGGGGAAAAGCAGCCAAGUUGGGCCGGGGACAGGCAAAGUUCGCUCUCUCCCUUCUGAGGUGUCAGCUGAACGUCUUGAGCAGAUAG